UACGUAGGGUGCGAGCGUUAAUCGGAAUUACUGGGCGUAAAGCGUGCGCAGGCGGCUUUGCAAGACAGAUGUGAAAUCCCCGGGCUCAACCUGGGAACUGCAUUUGAGACUGCAAGGCUAGAGUACGGCAGAGGGGGAUGGAAUUCCGCGUGUAGCAGUGAAAUGCGUAGAUAUGCGGAGGAACACCAAUGGCGAAGGCAA
rnacentral:rRNA from 1 species